ACUGAGAGCCUCAUGGGGAUCAGCAGGAUGAUGGCCCAGCAGGUCCAGCAGAGCGAGGAGGCCAUGCAGUCUCUAGUUCCUUUUAAAAGAUGUGAAUCAGAGGCUACAGGAGAGACUGCUUGAGACCAUCUGGUUUCCUCCAAUAGUUUUCCCAGAGUGUCUCCUCUGUGAUGGAGAAGAGUAUCAGCCCUCUCCAGGGUCCUUCAGUAUAAGACAACAGAAAAAGGGCGUUUACUCCUUGAAACGCUUUUGGAAAAUUGCACACGUGGACAAAAGGAGAAAGCAUGGUAUCCUGAAUCCCCUGAGCCCUGAGUCCAUUACCCCAGCCAGUCUCGUUUCAGUUCUACCCUCAGCCCAUCCCCCAUCUGGAUUAUUUUGAAGCAAAUCCCAGACAUCAUCCAUAAAUAUCUCAGUACAUCUCUCUAAAAGAUAAGGGACUCUUUGGGGAAAAAGCAGAAGCAACCCCAUAACUACAAUACCAUGAUCACCCCUAGAAAUUAUAAUUUUGGACCACUGUUUUUUCAGUGCACCAAAUAGGCAGAAGCAAAAGGAAAGCAAGCAGGUGACCCCAAGGUCACUCCUUGAGUUUGCAGCUUACCUGAACAUCUGGGCUCGGAACCAGCCAGGGGCUUCCUCUCAGCGUGUGCUGUGGGAGAGGCCUUGGAGAGAGAGGGAGCAAGGCGACAACUUGGCCUCUGAGCCCAGGGCUUUUAUGCUCUGGUGUGGCGACAGCAUACCCCCCGCUAACAGUGGGAAGGAAACACAAAUGCUGGUGGCUUCUGGGGUGUUGAGAGGGUCCCGGUGUUCUUGGGGCCCAUUUUGUACAAGCGAUAACUAUUGAAGAAAAGAGAAGAAUACAGUUCUUAACCCUUUCCUUAUGCCUCACAAAUUCAGCUUGAUUUAAAAGCCUACUAGGACCAUAAUUUUAAAACAAAAAGCUUAUUAGGAAUAUGGUGUCUGGAAUUUGCUCCACAAUUGCAGGAGUAGUUGCAGUUGGGGGGAGGGGGAGCAGGAUUUCAGAGGUUGGUGGUUCUUGGUUAUGGGUGGUGGACACAUGGCAUUUCAUGAUAUUAUGCUGUCUGCUCUGUGAUGGUUCAAAAUUCUCCGUAAUAAUAAAGUUUAAAAAGAAA
rnacentral:lncRNA from 10 species